rnacentral:rRNA from 1 species
GACGAACGCUGGCGGCGUGCCUAAUACAUGCAAGUCGAACGAGUGGCGGACGGGUGAGUAACACGUGGGUAACCUGCCCUCCUUUUUGGGAUAAGCCUUGGAAACGGGGUCUAAUACCGAAUAAAGGGGGAUGGGCUCGCGGCCUAUCAGCUUGUUGUUGGGGUGAUAGCUACCAAGGCGUGACGGGUAGCCGGCCGGAGAGGGUGACCGGCCACAUUGGGACUGAGAUACGGCCCAGACUCCUACGGGAGGCAGCAGUGGGGGAUAUUGCACAAUGGGCGCAAGCCUGACCAAGCAACGCCGCGUGAAGGAAGACGGUCUUCGGAUUGUAAACUUCUUUAGACAGGGACGCGGUACCUGUAGAAUAAGCCACGGCUAACUACGUGCCAGCAGCCGCGGUAAUUC